GGGGGAGCCUGGUGGGCUGCCGUCUCUGGGGUCACACAGAGUCAGACUCAACUGAAGCGACUUAGUAGCAGCAGCAGGAAGGUAGUGAAGGAGAUGCUCCAGCAAGACAAAGGAGUAAACCAAGAAAGUGGAGGACACAGGAUCUAGGAAACAGGGUAACAAAUGCAAUAUUUUUAUUGUCAGAAAUUCCUGAUUUGUUUCACUCAAAUAUUACAAUUCUAUUGGAAGGAUGAGAGAGAAAAAGUAAAAGGGAGAGUAGUGUAAAGUUACUAAGUUCUCCUUUGCCAUAUGAAGAAGCCAUUAGAUGAUGUCUAAAAUUGAUAAACAAAGAGAUAGCGCCAUAAACACAUUAUUCAGAAACAGAGAGGCAAAUACCAGAAGCAGCAUCAGGGGUUAGCAAUCGUUUGGUUGCCUUUGGGAAGCAGAACUGGACAGGGGACAAGGAUGGGAAGGAGAAUGGGGAGGCCGAUUGCAGGAAAACAGUUUUGUUGUUAAACAUGCUUUUGUAACUAAUUGAUUUAAAAUAGAAAAACUGUGCACAUAUUACUUUGAUAAAAAAACUUUAAAAAUAAAUUCUGAGACUCAAAGCGUCAAGUUCACGUGUGAGCUACGAGCACAGUAAAGCAAGGAAGUCCCAGGGGCAUGGAGAGAAGUGUGGUUCUUCCCUUUCUAUCCAAUCCUCUGGGUAGAAACGUCUCUGGCUGCUGCGGGGCUCCGGGCUUGGGAACAGCAGGCUCCACGUCGCUGUGGCUGUCGCUGUCGCUGGGCGGGGGAGACACUUUCUCCAAUAGACUAAGCGGGGACAGCAGGAAGCGUCCUUUAUUUACCACGCCCAGAGCACCCUCCGCAGAACGUUCCGGAGCUCCUGAGAACCCUCGCCGCCCUCCCCCUGCCCCACCCCACCCCCACUCCGCGGCGCCCUCCCCCAGCCCCACCGGCCGCCACCCCUCCCCCGGCGGCUGCUUGUGGCCGCUGGGAUCCCUGUCGCCCCGGGACUCAGCUGACAGCGGACAGACAAUGGUAUUUCCCAUCAGCCUGGGAGUGUCUCAACGGAUUGUCGGGAGGCCAGAAUUGAAACAGGUAAGGUGCGUGGCUAGGUGUUCAGCUGGCUGCAUGGCAUGUAGUCACACGCAGUAAGUUGGUGGCUGCUAUGUGUAUAGCUGUUUAAGGCUUUGGCACAAAGCCUGGUCUCUGGACAAACCAGAGGAGAGCUGCCAGUAGGGGUUAGAGGGCAUUGCCUUGAUCCCCUCCUUGGAGAGCUGGGGCAGAGAGGAGGAAGUGUGCCUCGGUGGGCUAGGUCAGCCUCUGUUGGCUGCCAGAGGGAAAAAGAGACAAUCGGGCGUCAAGUUUUUGCCUCACCUUUAAAAAGAACAUGAAUGCAUAGGUAAGCAUUUGGAGACUUCUCUGUGGAGUCAAACUUUGUAUCUAAUGGAUCUGUUUUGAAGUGCUUCUAGGGAAACUUAAUUUGGAACAUGAUUGGCAAGCUCCUUUUGAAGGCAGUUUUUACUUUGCAGAGUGGCCUAGUGAACCUCACUUAAAGCACAGACAACCCUGCAGGAGGGCACUGCUCCUACAAGAGAGUGAAGGCUCAACACCAGGAAUGGUGGAGACCCUUCCCAUCCAUCUGCCCCCUCCCCAGGGCUCCAGACCCCCAGGCUGAUAAUAAGCACAGCCCCUAAAGGCCAGAGUCCUCAAAGUAACCCCAUCCUGUUAGGUUCUCACUAGGUCCUGUGAGACAUGCUGGCUAAUCUCUACCACAUACUCCUGGGACAAAAAGAAGCUUAGAGAAUAGGGGCAGACACUGUCUGUUUCGUUGCUGUGUUUGCUGGGUGAUCUUCCUUCGUCAGGGGCUUGCCAUACUCUCUGUCAUCCCAGAGGCCAGGGCUGAGGGGGCUAAGGGGACCAGACAUACAAAACAGAGGAGCCCUUCCCCAAUCCCAGGCCACACUGGACACACCUCCUUCCUGACAGGACUCUCUUGGAAGUUCCAAAAGGGAAAUAUUAGAAUGACAGAGGCAGAAAUACAGUGCUGCAUGGAUUGGAGAUGGUGUUUUCAAGGGUAAGUUGUUUUUUUUAAAAAUAUUAAACUAACUUUAUAAUUAAGUUGUGUAUAAAUUCUUUUUUAGAAAAUGUUUUC
rnacentral:lncRNA from 1 species